rnacentral:rRNA from 1 species
AGUCAUAUGCUUGUCUCAAAGAUUAAGCCAUGCAUGUCUCAGUACAAGCCAAAUUAAGGUGAAACCGCGAAAGGCUCAUUAAAUCAGUUAUGGUUCCUUAGAUCGUACCCACACUUACUUGGAUAACUGUGGUAAUUCUAGAGCUAAUACAUGCAAAUUGAGCCCCGACCGGAGACGGAAGGGGUGCUUUUAUUAGAUCAAAACCAAUCGGCGACGGUUCGCGCCGUCGUCGUAACUUAUGGUGAAUCGAAAUAACUUUUGGCUGAUCGCACGGUCUCGCACCGGCGACGCAUCUUUCAAAUGUCUGCCUUAUCAACUGUCGAUGGUAGGUUCUGCGCCUACCAUGGUUGUAACGGGUAACGGGGAAUCAGGGUUCGAUUCCGGAGAGGGAGCCUGAGAAACGGCUACCACAUCCAAGGAAGGCAGCAGGCGCGCAAAUUACCCACUCCCGGCACGGGGAGGUAGUGACGAAAAAUAACGAUGCGGGACUCAUCCGAGGCCCCGUAAUCGGAAUGAGUAAAUUUUAAAACCCUUUUCGAGGAUCAAUUGGAGGGCCAGUCUGGUGCCAGCAGCCGCGGUAAUUCCAGCUCCAAUAGCGUAU